CUUGGUCAUUUAGAGGAAGUAAAAGUCGUAACAAGGUUUCCGUAGGUGAACCUGCGGAAGGAUCAUUAAAGAAUCGCCCCGUUUUUUGAAAUGGGUUCUAUUCCUAAACCGUGUAUACAUACCUUUGUUGCUUUGGCGGGCCGCCUUCGGGCGUUGGCUCCGGCUAACUGCGCCCGCCAGAGGACCCAAACUCGUUUGUUUAGUGAUGUCUGAGUACUAUAUAAUAGUUAAAACUUUCAACAACGGAUCUCUUGGUUCUGGCAUCGAUGAAGAACGCAGCGAAAUGCGAUAAGUAAUGUGAAUUGCAGAAUUCAGUGAAUCAUCGAAUCUUUGAACGCACAUUGCGCCCCUUGGUAUUCCGAGGGGCAUGCCUGUUCGAGCGUCAUUAUAACCACUCAAGCGUAUGCUUGGUCUUGGGGUUCGCGGUCCGCGGCCCUUAAAAUCAGUGGCGGUGCCAUCUGGCUCUAAGCGUAGUAAUUUCCUCGCUAUAGUGUCCGGGUGGUUGCUUGCUCUAAUCCCCCAAUUUUUUACGGUUGACCUCGGAUCAGGUAGGGAUACCCGCUGAACUUAAGCAUAUCAAUAAGCGGAGGAAAAGAAACCAACAGGGAUUGCCUCAGUAACGGCGAGUGAAGCGGCAACAGCUCAAAUUUGAAAUCUGGCUCUUUCAGGGUCCGAGUUGUAAUUUGUAGAAGAUGCUUUGGGUGUAGCUCCGGUCUAAGUUCCUUGGAACAGGACGUCAUAGAGGGUGAGAAUCCCGUACGUGACUGGGUGCUUUCGCUCGUGUAAAGCUCUUUCGACGAGUCGAGUUGUUUGGGAAUGCAGCUCAAAAUGGGUGGUAAAUUUCAUCUAAAGCUAAAUAUUGGCCAGAGACCGAUAGCGCACAAGUAGAGUGAUCGAAAGAUGAAAAGCACUUUGGAAAGAGAGUUAAACAGUACGUGAAAUUGUUGAAAGGGAAGCGCUUGCAAUCAGACUUGCGCGCUGUUGAUCAUCCGAGCUUUUGCCCGGUGCACUCGGCAGCGUUCAGGCCAGCAUCGGUUUUGGUGGGCGGAUAAAGGCCUUGGGAAUGUAGCUUCUUUCGGGGAGUGUUAUAGCCCUCGGUGCAAUGCGCCCUACCGGGACCGAGGACCGCGCUUCGGCUAGGAUGCUGGCGUAAUGGUUGUAAGCGACCCGUCUUGAAACACGGACC
rnacentral:rRNA from 1 species